rnacentral:rRNA from 1 species
UACGAAGGGGGGCUAGCGUUGCUCGGAAUCACUGGGCGUAAAGCGCACGUAGGCGGCUUUCUAAGUCAGGGGUGAAAUCCCGGAGCUCAACUCCGGAACUGCCUUUGAUACUGGAGAGCUUGAGUCCGGGAGAGGUGAGUGGAACUGCGAGUGUAGAGGUGAAAUUCGUAGAUAUUCGCAAGAACACCAGUGGCGAAGGCGGCUCACUGGCCCGGAACUGACGCUGAGGUGCGAAAGCGUGGGGAGCAACAGGG